CUGCUCACAAUGUUUGAGCUUCAGUCAGUCAGCCCUUUUUUUGACAUGCUGCUAAGAGGAAGGAAGACAGCUCCUGUGUGGACUCAGAAGACACAACUGAAGCCCGGCACAAGGAGGGACCCUUAAGAAGUGUCAUUGGAUUAGCCAGCUGGCAUCUGCCUUCAGUCGGAUAGCAACACCUUGAGAGGAUGAAGCAUGUGAAGAUAGCACAUCUGCCGCUGGUCUUCGCCUUUCUGCACGCCUGCUUUGCUCAAGCAGACUUUGCCCCGUACUUCUUUGACAAUGGACCGUACAGCCAGAACGGGAACAUGGCCCUGUUCAGUCUCUCAGAGGACACACCUGUUGGUGAGCAGGACUCACACAGCAAAAUGUAUCUUUAUUAUUGUGCUUUACC